GGGGUGCAGCAGGCGCGAAACCUUUACAAUGCCCGAGAGUGCGAUAAGGGGACUCCGAGUGUAGUCUUCCCACAAGGAAGGCUACUUUUCUGCCCUGUAAGGAGGUGCCGGAACAAGGGGUGGGCAAUACUGCUGCCAGCCGCCGCGGUAAUAGCAGAACCCCAAGUGGUAGUCAUUAUUAUUGGGUUUAAAGUGUUCGUAGCCGGAUCUGCAAGUCCGCUGUGAAAUCCACAUGCUUAACAUGUGGGCGUGCAGCGGAUACUGCAGGUCUAGGAACCGGACGGCGUCGAGGCUAUUCCAAGGGUAGGGGUGAAAUCCUAAAAUCCUUGGAGGAGCACCUGUGGCGAAAGCGCUCGACGAGUACGGAUUCGACGGUGAGGAACGAAAGCUAGGGGAGCAAAGCGGAUUAAAUACCCGCGUAGUCCUAGCUGUAAACAUUGUCUGUUUGAUGUCGGAAAACCUUCGAGGUUUUCCGGUGCCGAAGUGAAAACAAUAAACAAACCACCUGGGUAGUACGGUCGCAAGGCUGAAACUUAAAGGAAUUGGCGGGGGAGCAC
rnacentral:rRNA from 1 species